AACGAACGCUGGCGGCGUGCCUAACACAUGCAAGUCGAACGUGAUCUACCCUUCGGGGUAGUGAAAGUGGCGCACGGGUGAGUAACGCGUAGAUAAUCUGCCCGAUGCUCUGGGAUAACAUCUCGGAAGGGGUGCUAAUACCGGAUAAGCCCACGGGGUCUUUGGACCCUGCGGGAAAAGAGGGGGACCUUCGGGCCUCUUGACAUCGGAUGAGUCUGCGUACCAUUAGCUAGUUGGUGGGGUAAGGGCCUACCAAGGCGACGAUGGUUAGCUGGUGUGAGAGGAUGAACAGCCACACUGGAACUGAGACACGGUCCAGACUCCUACGGGUGGCUGCAGUCGAGAAUCUACCGCAAUGGGCGCAAGCCUGACGGAGCGACGCCGCGUGUGGGAUGAAGGCCUUCGGGUUGUAAACCACUGUCAGUGGGGAGCAAAUGCAUCAGGGUUCUCCCUGGUGUUUGAGCGAUCCGCAGAGGAAGCACAGGCUAAUUCCGUGCCAGCCGCCGCGGUAACAC
rnacentral:rRNA from 1 species